rnacentral:rRNA from 1 species
AGGCUUAACACAUGCAAGUCGAGGGGCAGCAUGAGGUAGCAAUACCUUGAUGGCGACCGGCGCACGGGUGAGUAACGCGUAUGCAACCUGCCCGAUACCGGGGUAUAGCCCAUGGAAACGUGGAUUAACACCCCAUAGUACUUUUAUCCUGCCUGGGAUGUGAGUUAAAUGUUCAAGGUAUCGGAUGGGCAUGCGUCCUAUUAGUUAGUUGGCGGGGUAACAGCCCACCAAGACGAUGAUAGGUAGGGGUUCUGAGAGGAAGGUCCCCCACAUUGGAACUGAGACACGGUCCAAACUCCUACGGGAGGCAGCAGUGAGGAAUAUUGGUCAAUGGACGUAAGUCUGAACCAGCCAAGUCGCGUGAGGGAAGACUGCCCUAUGGGUUGUAAACCUCUUUUAUAAGGGAAGAAUAAGUUCUACGUGUAGAAUGAUGCCUGUACCUUAUGAAUAAGCAUCGGCUAACUCCGUGCCAGCAGCCGCGGUAAUACGGAGGAUGCGAGCGUUAUCCGGAUUUAUUGGGUUUAAAGGGUGCGUAGGCGGUUUAUUAAGUUAGUGGUUAAAUAUUUGAGCUAAACUCAAUUGUGCCAUUAAUACUGGUAAACUGGAGUACAGACGAGGUAGGCGGAAUAAGUUAAGUAGCGGUGAAAUGCAUAGAUAUAACUUAGAACUCCGAUAGCGAAGGCAGCUUACCAGACUGUAACUGACGCUGAUGCACGA